AAAGUCCAGUUAUGGAAGGAGAAGCUAGAUCCACCAUAUAGCUAGUCUUGUGCUGCUGAAGGUAACGACAGUAGUAAAGCAUAGACAAUGAAACAUUCUAGCUGAAAACAAAUGGUGAACGUUAUAGCCCUGCAAGUGAGGUGUAGUGGAAGCCGAUAUGUUCUACCACAUAGUAUAGCAAUAACAUAGGAAAUAGGUACAAUCAAAUAAACUUCAUUACGUGUUCUACAGCA
rfam:Orientia tsutsugamushi str. TT76 ut76.contig.17_1, whole genome shotgun sequence.